AAGUCGUAACAAGGUUUCCGUAGGUGAACCUGCGGAAGGAUCAUUAUGAAUUUGAAUAGGAGUGAUGUCCUCGUUUAAUCGCGAGUGGCACGCUCUUUCAUUUUCUGUGAACUGGUUCUUGUUCUGUUUGUCCAAUCUUUUUUUUUGGGCAAUAAGACUUGAGCGCUUUUUGUUUUCUUAUUUUAUUUCAUUUUUUUGUUUGGUUGAUUGCGAAAGCAAUUGAUUGAAUAAAUAAAAAAAAACCAAGAUAACUUUCAGCAAUGGAUCUCUUGGCUCUU
rnacentral:misc_RNA from 1 species